UACGGGAGGCAGCAGUGGGGAAUAUUGCACAAUGGGCGAAAGCCUGAUGCAGCUAUGCCGCGUGUAUGAAGAAGGCCUUAGGGUUGUAAAGUACUUUCAUCGGGGAGGAAAAAACAAAACUAAUAAUUUUAUUUCUUGACGUUACCCGAAAAAGAAGCACCGGCUAACUCCGUGCCAGCAGCCGCGGUAAUACGGAGGGUGCUAGCGUUAAUCAGAAUUACUGGGCGUAAAGAGCACGUAGGUGGUUUUUUUAAGUCAGAUGUGAAAUCCCUGGGCUUAACCUAGGAACUGCAUUUUGAAACUGAAAUACUAGAGUAUCGUAGAGGGAGGUAGAAUUCUAGGUGUAGCGGUGAAAUGCGUAGAUAUCUGGAGGAAUACCUGUGGCGAAAGCGGCCUCCUAAACGAAUACUGACACUGAGGUGCGAAAGCGUUGGGGAGCAAACGAGGGAUUUAGGAUACC
rnacentral:rRNA from 1 species